AGAAGUUAAAUGUUGUGCAGAGGGUGUGGCCAACACCAGCACUGCCCUAAUUGGUACAUUGUGGAAAGAGCUUUGAAAGGCAUUUUCAAGCUAACAAUUAUGAGCGCUAUCCAUGGAUGACCCAGUGUGAGUAAACCAGGAAACUGUUCUGCUGGGAUUGUCUACUCUUCAGAACCUACAAAGCGUCAAACUGGGCCAGUACUGGUUUCAAAGUCCUACCCAGUUUUACGAAGUCAACUCUGCACCACCAAGACUCAACUUCACACCUGCAAGCUACAGUGAGUUCAAAAACAUUUGGGGACACAAGUGUAGACAUUCAGCUUAACAAACAGCUGCGUAGAGACUCUUUCUCACAACGAUGAAGUCAGGCCGAACAGGGAGAUUCUGGCCAAAGUAGGCUACGUGGCACAGGAUGGAGAGAGAAAGCGACGGACGGAGUGACACAGACGGUGGCACCAUAGGUUGCCGGAGAGAUUAGACUGAUUGCAAUCGAGAGCUACUGCAUCAUCACUGGAUUGGAGAAACACUUCGAAGGCCCCUACCUAGAAGUCAGACCCUUUGGUCAAAAGGCUCUGGAUGAACCUUGGCUCUCACACAGGGAUGUAUGAGACACAACACCCUCUGGAACGAUGGACACAGACCUUUGAGGAACUUGUCAACUAGACAGAGGACCUCCUAGACCCAAUAGACCCAUUGAACCAGAAAUAAAUGUUCAAAUUCUCCAUCAAGCCCAGCUGUUUUACGUCAAGUUGAAUAAUGUUAAAUGAGUGAGACUUGAUUGAACUGUGCAGCACUCACAGGAUUAUGAAGUUCCAAAUGAUCUCAAUGACGUCCUGAAGAAAAAGUGAAUGUUGAACCCUAGUUAAAUAAAGGUCAAAUGAAAACCCUAUGCCUAUGGGCCCUGGUCAAAAGUAACGCACUGAAUAAGUUUCAGCUUUGAGGGUGCUGAAGUCCCAGUUCCGAGGUAGCUUGAGAGACAUUCUCCCUCCUUCAUAGGAAAGAUCUGUAAGGUAUGUACGCAAUAUGGUGGAAGCUCCAUCACUGGACUGCAUAUACCUAUCCUGAGACUGCAGAUCUGGCAAAAGAGGAGUUCGGACCAAGGGAGACGGGUAGGGAGCGAUUUGGGAUCGGCUAACAAACUGACUGACAGACAGAAGGCUUAUGGAAAGGAGGAUGAGGAUCACUCACAAUCAGCAUGAGCACCAUGGGACCCAGAUAUAUGAUGAUGAAGAAGAAGGAGAUCAUGGCCAGAGUCAGGAUCCCUCGCACCCACCAGUUCUUCCAUCUGAGAACACACACACAGUUAAUCCCCAUAUACAGUGUGUAAGGAAAAGGUGAACAAUAAGCAUCCAUAUCAGUUGUCUGUGUGCCCAGUUGUCUGUGUGCUGGGCAAUACAUUCCUGAAGAAUGUCAAUAUAGGCCUACACAGAUCAAUAGUUAUAUUGAGCAUAGCAGAUGGUAUUUCAUUAGCAUUCAAUAAUCCCCAUGUCUGAAUAACAGGAUGUUGUUAGGAUGGAGGACCAAACCAAAGAUAGUAAAUAAAAAAAUCUAGAUGUUGGUUGUGUCCCAAAUGGCACUCUAUUCCCUAUAGGCCUAGUGGCACUACUUUUGACCAGAUACUUAUGGGACACAGAUAUUACGUUUUGUAAAUAGGUGAUAUUUCCCUUGUUCCAAACCGGAGGUUGUGAUUACCAUAAGAAAAUAGUCAAUUAAAAAAGAAUAUAUAUGUUGGAAGUGUUUACCGUGAGGACAGUCCAGAUAGGGCUUUAUUGAGAACCUCAGGGGUGUCAUCAGCAGGGACAGGCACCUCCGGGAGCCCUGUAUCAGGCUUGGUCUCGCUUUCAGACACCCCCUCUGCUUUCCCCUCAUUCUCAGAUCCCUACAGAGAGAGAAAGAGAGAGCGGGGAGAGAGAGAGAGGGGGGAGAUAGAGAGACAGACACAGAUAUAGAUAGAGUUAGUCAUACAAUGUAAACAAACACAGCUAGCCCCCUAUGAGGAAUGCUCCCCCACUUCCUUUCCGGGUCUAUUUUAUGUCAGUGAACAACAUUGUGAGAGCAAGCUUGUAGUGCUUUUCCGCUUUGGUGUUAGGAUAGUCUGUCUGAUAAAUAUACGGCUGAUGGUGACAGAGUAAUCAACAUAUUUCAUGGUGUCUGCCCCCUUGAUACUGUCUGAAAGCGGAUGACCCUCUGCUUUCCAAGGUAACAAAAUGUGUCAUUAGACAUUGCAGACUGCUGUGCUGUCAUCGUGGUCUCUCCCCCCUAGCUCUACCAAAAUUGCACUGUUGUGUCACCUAACCUCCUAUUAACACAACAGAUAGCUGUUAGCCUACACUGCCUGUCUCGGUUGACAACACACAUACUGUGUACACACAUAUAGCAGUAGGCCUAGCUAUCAAGCUGAUGGAACCCUCAGGCUUGCUGGUUCCCAUUUCCUAUCAGGCAGGAUGCCCUGGAUAAAAAUAGCCCCUCCUUCCACACUCCUGUUACUGAAGAGACCCCUUUCAUGUUCCGUGGGAGGCAAGGAGCAGCACUACACUACCCACACCUCGUUUUGUUUUUGUCUCUGGUCACAUUAUCAGAAUCAAGAGAUUUAUUCAACCAUGUUAAAUAAGUAAUGUAGGCCUAUGCAAUUUCCUUCUACCUUAUCAACUACGCUACCACAAUAAUAGACAUGCACAUGCAGUCAUACAUACUAUACACAACAAACAAGGGUCAGUGCUAUCCGGGAUCCUUGGGAUGUCCCUAACCUUACCCCAUUGAAAUGUAAAAGGUUAGGGUAGGGGUUAACAUCCAACAAACAUGCCAUUUCCUUUGGGUAUAAAUAAGCUGGAUCUAUUUUCCAGUGUCCUUAGGCUGUCACAAUUUGACUUAUAUAACCAUUCUUCAAACUUUCUGAGAGCAAGCCGAGUCAACUUUGGCUCAAAUGAUUUCAACUCAAAAACAUUUUGUAGGCACAAGACAGAGACACUAAGUUAUCCAUGGAGAAUUGAUGAUGCACCUGCAGGCACGGUCCUUCUACAGUGAUGUCUGACAGAAUCAAACUACAGAGCGCCACGGCCCUAUACCACCAGCACAACACAGCUGCAUGAUGAAACCUGCCUAACCGAACGUAGCAGGAGUAGACAGACGCCAGAGCGGAGUCGUCAACCAGAAACAUCCGCUUUCUGCCAACGUCGCUAAGGGGGGCACCAGGCUGGCAAUCACUGAUCAAAAACCAAGACGCAAAGGCCUACAUUCUGAGGCGGGAAUGCAAGUCAAAGUGGACUUGGAGGGGGGAACACAGCAUGUAUUUUACGGACCCUGAAACUAGUAAAGCCCCACAGUGGAGCCUGUGUGAUGGAUGAGGAGAGCAAAUGCAACACAACAAAGC